rnacentral:rRNA from 1 species
AAGGGAACUACGAGCUAACUCCCAACCCAAUGUGAACGUUACCAAACUGUUGCCUCGGCGGGGUCACGCCCCGGGUGCGUAAAAGCCCCGGAACCAGGCGCCCGCCGGAGGAACCAACCAAACUCUUUCUGUAGUCCCCUCGCGGACGUAUUUCUUACAGCUCUGAGCAAAAAUUCAAAAUGAAUCAAAACUUUCAACAACGGAUCUCUUGGUUCUGGCAUCGAUGAAGAACGCAGCGAAAUGCGAUAAGUAAUGUGAAUUGCAGAAUUCAGUGAAUCAUCGAAUCUUUGAACGCACAUUGCGCCCGCCAGUAUUCUGGCGGGCAUGCCUGUCCGAGCGUCAUUUCAACCCUCGAACCCCUCCGGGGGAUCGGCGUUGGGGAUCGGGACCCCUCACCGGGUGCCGGCCCUGAAAUACAGUGGCGGUCUCGCCGCAGCCUCUCCUGCGCAGUAGUUUGCACAACUCGCACCGGGAGCGCGGCGCGUCCACGUCCGUAAAACACCCAACUUCUGAAAUGUUGACCUCGGAUCAGGUAGGAAUACCCGCUGAACUUAAGCAUAUCAAA